GGGCGGAUGGUUUAGUGGUAUAAUUUUCCCUUAGCAUCUUCUGGCCUUUGAAAGACUAGAUACUUCCGCAUGGGAAAGGUCCGGGGUUCGAUUCCCCGUUCGUCCA
rnacentral:tRNA from 1 species